GGUGAAUCGUGUCUUGUGACUGACCUAGGAUGUAUCAUUCAAUAGCACAUUUUAUCUUGUCUGAACAACUUCAAGAGACAGACAACGCAUGACUUUAAAAAGGUUUGUGUGACUACACCCACCUUUGAGAGAGCUGGCAAGUAGAGAGGAACUCAGUAAGACUAAGCCUGGACACUUCCCAGACAUUUGUUCUAAGACAUAAACCACAAAUGCUCUGGCAAUUAUGUGAUUCCAGCAAACAAACACUGGUAUAUGCAAACUCAUUGUUCUUCACACCCUCUCUGACUUCUAGUCUGCUGGCAAUCCUUUCGUCUGUCUUCAUUGCUAUUAGGACAUGUCUUAUGUCUCAAGCAUUAACUUUCAUGUUUCUUAUUCUGGUGUUUUUUCUCCUUUUUUUCUUUCCAGACUUUGUUCACUUAGGUCUUUACUGCUGAAUGUCAUAAGAUUCCCAGAGGAUCCAUAAUGCUACCUGCAACCAGUUUUGGAACAGAAUUCCUUUGUUACCCACAUCUUUCAUCUGGAUGACUUGGUGAGUCAUAUUGGUCCGGGUGGCAAGAAUUUCAGACUCCUAUCUAACUUAGAAAUGUUCUCUUAUUCUCUUCAUAUUGCUACCCAAAACUAGGGUUUGUCAGCCUUUUCCCCUCCCUCUACCCCCCCUUCCAGGGCAAUCACUGUGAAACUUUUAAUGCAUUUUUGGCAUGUCUCUACAAGGCUUUCAGUUAAGCAGUAGAUAAACAUGCUUCUCCAAAGCAGACGUCAAUGUUCCAGCUACUCAUCCUAUUUUGAUUGACAGAUUCCCAUAACUUAUCAGGAUCUUCAUUAAAGUUCUCUGAGCUGCUACUGUCUACGUAAAGCAGCCACUAGCCAUUGCAUUACUGUUCUUUGACUGCCUGUUCUCCAUCCUCUUGGUAUCUCUAAUUACUUUCCUGUCUAUUCUGUCAAUCUAACUUUGUGCUAUUAGAUUUGUUUCAUUUAAACAGUUUUCUGGAAGACGUAUGUGGAAACCUGGGCAAGAAAAUCUUCUCACACCCUGCUGCUCUCUGUGACAUGUAUUCUGCAGGCUUCUUUCAUUUCUGUCACAACCUUGAUGUCAGGGUUGAUUCUGAACUUUGUCCUGCCACUGCAGAUCUGACACUGUGAUAUUCUCUGAAUACCAUCCUAUU
rnacentral:lncRNA from 1 species